GAUGAACGCUGGCGGCGUGCUUAACACAUGCAAGUCGAACGAUGAAGCCCAGCUUGCUGGGUGGAUUAGUGGCGAACGGGUGAGUAACACGUGAGUAACCUGCCCUUGACUCUGGGAUAAGCGCUGGAAACGGCGUCUAAUACCGGAUACGAGCUUCCACCGCAUGGUGAGUUGCUGGAAAGAAUUUCGGUCAAGGAUGGACUCGCGGCCUAUCAGGUAGUUGGUGAGGUAACGGCUCACCAAGCCGACGACGGGUAGCCGGCCUGAGAGGGUGACCGGCCACACUGGGACUGAGACACGGCCCAGACUCCUACGGGAGGCAGCAGUGGGGAAUAUUGCACAAUGGGCGCAAGCCUGAUGCAGCAACGCCGCGUGAGGGACGAAGGCCUUCGGGUCGUAAACCUCUUUCAGCAGGGAAGAAGCGAAAGUGACGGUACCUGCAGAAAAAGCACCGGCUAACUACGUG
rnacentral:rRNA from 1 species